rnacentral:rRNA from 1 species
AUUAAACUGAAGAGUUUGAUCAUGGCUCAGAUUGAACGCUGGCGGCAUGCCUAACACAUGCAAGUCGAACGAUGAUUACUAGC